GCGGAAGUGGUGAAAUUGGUAUACACGCUACUUUGAGGGGGUAGUGCCCGUUCGGGCGUAGGGGUUCAAGUCCCCUCUUCCGCACCA
rnacentral:tRNA from 1 species